UAAGCAUAUCAAUAAGCGGAGGAAAAGAAACCAACAGGGAUUGCCCCAGUAACGGCGAGUGAAGCGGCAACAGCUCAAAUUUGAAAUCUGGCCCCCAGGGCCCGAGUUGUAAUUUGCAGAGGAUGCUUUUGGCGCGGUGCCUUCCGAGUUCCCUGGAACGGGACGCCAUAGAGGGUGAGAGCCCCGUCUGGUCGGACGCCUAGCCUAUGUAAAGCUCCUUCGACGAGUCGAGUAGUUUGGGAAUGCUGCUCUAAAUGGGAGGUAUAUGUCUUCUAAAGCUAAAUAUUGGCCAGAGACCGAUAGCGCACAAGUAGAGUGAUCGAAAGAUGAAAAGCACUUUGAAAAGAGGGUUAAAUAGUACGUGAAAUUGUUGAAAGGGAAGCGCUUAUGACCAGACUUGGGCCCGGUGGAUCAUCCAGCGUUCUCGCUGGUGCACUCCGCCGGGUUCAGGCCAGCAUCAGUUCGCCGCGGGGGAAAAAGGCUUCGGGAACGUGGCUCCUACGGGAGUGUUAUAGCCCGUUGCAUAAUACCCUGGGGCGGACUGAGGUUCGCGCUCCGCAAGGAUGCUGGCGUAAUGGUCAUCAGCGACCCGUCUUGAAACACGGACCAAGGAGUCGUCUUCGUAUGCGAGUGUUCGGGUGUAAAACCCCUACGCGUAAUGAAAGUGAACGCAGGUGAGAGCUUCGGCGCAUCAUCGACCGAUCCUGAUGUUCUCGGAUGGAUUUGAGUAAGAGCAUACGGGGCCGGACCCGAAAGAAGGUGAACUAUGCCUGUAUAGGGUGAAGCCAGAGGAAACUCUGGUGGAGGCUCGCAGCGGUUCUGACGUGCAAAUCGAUCGUCAAAUAUGGGCAUGGGGGCGAAAGACUAAUCGAACCUUCUAGUAGCUGGUUUCCGCC
rnacentral:rRNA from 1 species